CUAACUUUUAUAAUGUUUGAUAACAUGGGAAAUGAAUUAAAUGAAUGUUGUUAAACGGUUAAACCAGACCAAUGCAUCAGGUGGCCAACUCUCUACCCCAUCUCAGCUGAGCUGUUUUGUUUCCAUUCGCUAUGAAACAACAGAUUGCGUCUUCAAUAAUAAAACAUGAGCAUGAUUUAGGUUGCACAAGUGUGUGUGGAGCCUACGUUAUUAAUGAGCCUACAGUUGGGUUCCAGAAUGUGGUGCUGCUAAGCCACUAACAGAUGGUCAAUGUCUUGUUUAAUAAGUAGGCAGUAGUGUGGAGGCAAUGGUAGGCUAAAAUUGGCUACAUGAGACUGCCCGUAAUUGGAGUCUGAAAUUAACUGAAUCGGUCAGGAAGUAGGAACCGAACAGAACCGAAACCACAGUUGCGGGCGCAGUUGGAACUUGGAAUCCAGGCGUUGGAGGACCCGCCAGUCAUCACAUCAUACCGGAGUGACGAGCGUCAACAUUCUCCUGCUUGGGCAGUUUCCGUGGAGUCGACGGGCUUUCUGGACGAAGAGGUCACAAACUCACACCCACUUUAAAAGCCUCUCCUCCUUCCACCCCGGGGAACAUUACUGUGGGGCAAACGGGCCUGGCUGUGAGUGGAUGGAUGCACAGAACUGAUAAACGGCCCGUAACGAAGGACAGUGCCCCAGUGUGCUCCAGUUUCACCAGCACAUCCUGGCAGCAGUGACUGGAGCUCCAUUAUCUGUAUCUGUGUGUGUGUGUGUGGGUCUGAGACACGUUGGAGUAGAGGUGCCCACUGCAGCAUGUGCCAGAGAAGGCUGGAGGACAAGAAGAAUGACACUAGCGUCUUAAAACACACAAAUACAUUCACAUAGACACAAACACACACAUAUACUCAAACGCACACUUUGGGGUCAGUCCCUCUGAAAGGGUUUCUGCAGGCGUCUUAGCUGGUUUUGUGUGUGUCUGGUGACUCACACGGCCAGGGCUGGUGACUGAGGCUGCUGAGGAGAAGCCAGUUUUACUCACAGGGUCGGAGCUGAGUAGUAAUCACCCACAGCCCCAGAGACGUACAGGCAGAGGGAGAGUGGGAGAGAGAGCGAAAGAAAAAGGCAAAUGCGAUGGUGGAGGAGGGAGCCGUGAGAGAGGAGUGGCAGUCGUGCAUGAGCGGGUGAACAUACAGUACAUGCACACACAUACACACACACACACACACAUCCCACGUGCACAAACACACACAUGAAGCGGAGAGACAAGGCUCCUCGGCUAGCUGGGCUUCAGCGCUGAGGCUUAACUGAGUUGCGUCUCCCACUCUGGAGGCAGGGAAGGAGAGGAGAGGAGAGGAGAGAGGAGGGAAGCACAGGAGUGCUCAGCUGCCUGCCAUUCUGGCUCUGGCUUCACCACAGCAGCACCACAGCCAUAGGAGAGGAGAGCCCAGGGCUACACACUCCUGAAACUGGAACAGCCGCUCAUCACUCGCUAAGAGGAGGCAACCAGAGAGAAGAACAGGACGGGAACA